ACUUAAAUUGAAGAGUUUGAUCAUGGCUCAGAUUGAACGCUGGCGGCAGGCCUAACACAUGCAAGUCGAGCGGUAGCACAGAGAGCUUGCUCUCGGGUGACGAGCGGCGGACGGGUGAGUAAUGUCUGGGAAACUGCCUGAUGGAGGGGGAUAACUACUGGAAACGGUAGCUAAUACCGCAUAACGUCGCAAGACCAAAGUGGGGGACCUUCGGGCCUCAUGCCAUCAGAUGUGCCCAGAUGGGAUUAGCUAGUAGGUGGGGUAACGGCUCACCUAGGCGACGAUCCCUAGCUGGUCUGAGAGGAUGACCAGCCACACUGGAACUGAGACACGGUCCAGACUCCUACGGGAGGCAGCAGUGGGGAAUAUUGCACAAUGGGCGCAAGCCUGAUGCAGCCAUGCCGCGUGUGUGAAGAAGGCCUUCGGGUUGUAAAGCACUUUCAGCGGGGAGGAAGGCGUUAAGGUUAAUAACCUCAUCGAUUGACGUUACCCGCAGAAGAAGCACCGGCUAACUCCGUGCCAGCAGCCGCGGUAAUACGGAGGGUGCAAGCGUUAAUCGGAAUUACUGGGCGUAAAGCGCACGCAGGCGGUCUGUCAAGUCGGAUGUGAAAUCCCCGGGCUCAACCUGGGAACUGCAUUCGAAACUGGCAGGCUAGAGUCUUGUAGAGGGGGGUAGAAUUCCAGGUGUAGCGGUGAAAUGCGUAGAGAUCUGGAGGAAUACCGGUGGCGAAGGCGGCCCCCUGGACAAAGACUGACGCUCAGGUGCGAAAGCGUGGGGAGCAAACAGGAUUAGAUACCCUGGUAGUCCACGCCGUAAACGAUGUCGAUUUGGAGGUUGUGCCCUUGAGGCGUGGCUUCCGGAGCUAACGCGUUAAAUCGACCGCCUGGGGAGUACGGCCGCAAGGUUAAAACUCAAAUGAAUUGACGGGGGCCCGCACAAGCGGUGGAGCAUGUGGUUUAAUUCGAUGCAACGCGAAGAACCUUACCUGGUCUUGACAUCCACAGAACUUAGCAGAGAUGCUUUGGUGCCUUCGGGAACUGUGAGACAGGUGCUGCAUGGCUGUCGUCAGCUCGUGUUGUGAAAUGUUGGGUUAAGUCCCGCAACGAGCGCAACCCUUAUCCUUUGUUGCCAGCGGUCCGGCCGGGAACUCAAAGGAGACUGCCAGUGAUAAACUGGAGGAAGGUGGGGAUGACGUCAAGUCAUCAUGGCCCUUACGACCAGGGCUACACACGUGCUACAAUGGCAUAUACAAAGAGAAGCGACCUCGCGAGAGCAAGCGGACCUCAUAAAGUAUGUCGUAGUCCGGAUUGGAGUCUGCAACUCGACUCCAUGAAGUCGGAAUCGCUAGUAAUCGUAGAUCAGAAUGCUACGGUGAAUACGUUCCCGGGCCUUGUACACACCGCCCGUCACACCAUGGGAGUGGGUUGCAAAAGAAGUAGGUAGCUUAACCUUCGGGAGGGCGCUUACCACUUUGUGAUUCAUGACUGGGGUGAAGUCGUAACAAGGUAACCGUAGGGGAACCUGCGGUUGGAUCACCUCCUUACCUUAAAGAA
rnacentral:rRNA from 6 species